GGAGGCGGGAACUCGGGCUCCGGUUCCCGGAUGGAGGUCAAAGGUGGUGCUCUUGGAGCUGACGCCUGCGGGCAGAAGGCGGGCAGGGGCUGUCGGGAGCAUGCGCACGGAGCAGAGCCCAGCAGCCCCGCGAAUCGUAGCUCUGGAGAGCUCUCUUGCUGCGUGUCCUUCCUCCCAUGGCGGGUAAUGCUGCUUCGGUUGUUUGUUGCCUGCGGUCCCUCUGCUUGGCCUGUUUGCUCCCGACGUGCACGUGGCUCACUCCUCCCUGCCUUCGAGCUGUUGCUCGCAGCACAGGUUCUCAAGGAGGCUUUAUCUGACCUUGCUAUUUCAUUGCACAGCCCGUAUGCCCACCCUUGCCAUCCACGCCCCGCUCCUGGUUUAUUUUUCUUUUGUUCAAACCACUCUUCACUUUCUAAGAACAUCAGAGAUCAGAAAUUAAGAAGAUAAAGUGUUAAAAUGAGAAAUCAAAAAUCAAGCAAACAAAAACCAUCUGCAAAGUGAAGACUCAUCCUUGAAAUCUGUAGAACUGUGAUGGCCAAUGAUAAUCAGACCCUCUCCUAUUUGAUUUUCAAGCACUUCACUUCUUAAAUUACAUUGUCAUAAGUUCUGCCUUGGAAUACCUUUUUUAAUCAUGAUUGAUUUUUACUUUGAGUUUUUUAAAGUAAAUUUUCUUGCUUUUGUUUUUGUUUUUUACAAACAAUGUGUCAGAAUCUGCUAGAAUUACCUGGAUCAUAUAAUCUUAGCCAAUUGAGCUUAGUUUUGUUUAUUUUUGUUUUGUUACAGUGCACUAUAAAUUUUAUUUGGCAACGAUUUUAAUGUUAUGUUUUGGGAAAAUAAUUGAAACAAAUAAUAUUUUCUACUUUCCUCCUCCAUUUAUUUUAUACUUUUUAUUUCAAAUACCUCUACUUUAUUGGGGUUUUUUUGGUA
rnacentral:lncRNA from 1 species